CCGGCAACUUCCGUUUCCUCUGUCUUUCUCUCUGCGCUGCAGUAAUGGUGUGUUAGCGGGCGGCAAGCUCCCGUUCGAAAUCUACCGCCAUCCGCCGUCCCAAAGCUCUCUAUCGGACUGCGUGCAGCAGGGCAGGACACCUACAACACCCCUCGAAACAAAGAGGGCAGAACUCUUAAAGAUGCCAGGAAGAAGUUUUAAAAGGAUUCAAGAACCAAAAGUCCUCAUGAAGUUUUCAUCUGAGGGGAUUGCUGCUUCUGAGGUCCCCGACUGGGAAUGUUUGAAGUACCCGAGCACCUUCUCGCUGCCUCUGCAGGGUGUCCGUGAAGGUGGAGGUUGAGAUGGGGAAGUGUCUGACUCUGAUGUCAGCGGCGUUGCUUCAGGGUGUCUGUGCGAUGAAGGCAGAGGCUGACUGAGAUGGGAAAGUGACUGCAUUUGAUGACGGCGCCACCCCUCCAGGUUGACUGUGCACUGAAGGUGGAGGCUGAGAUGGGAAUGUGACUGUGUCUGACGCUAGCACUGCUGCUCCAGGGUGUCCGUGAAGGUGGAGGUUGAGAUGGGGAAGUGUCUGACUCUGAUGUCAGCGGCGUUGCUCCAGGUUGACUGUGCACUGAAGGUGGAGGCUGAGAUGGGAAUGUGACUGUGUCUGACGCUAGCACUGCUGCUCCAGCACAGAUUCUCAACUGUGGAGCAGAUGAGAGGACUCGCAAUUGGAAUAGUCACAGCUUUUUACUGGAAAGACUGCUGGAGCCCAAAUCCUGGAGUCUGUUGUUAUUUGAUGUUUAUUAAAACAAAUACACACUG